CAUUUGUCACCCCCUACGCUACCCAGUCAUCAUGAAUCCCCAUCUCUGUGUCUUCUUAGUUUUGGUGUCUUUUAUUCUUAGCCUGUUGAACUCCCAGCUGCACAAUCAGAUUGUGUUACAAUUCACCUGCUUCAAGAAUGUGGAAAUCUUUAAUUUUUUCUGUGAGCCAUCUCAACUUCUCAACCUUGCCUGUUCUGACAGUGUCAUCAAUAACAUAUUCAUGUAUUUAGAUAGUGUUAUAUUUGGUUUUCUUCCCAUCUCAGGGAUCCUUUUGUCUUACUAUAAAAUUGUCUCCUCCAUUCUAAGAAUUCCAUCAUCAGAUGGGAAGUAUAAAGCCUUCUCCACAUGUGGCUCUCACCUGGCAGUUGUUUGCUUAUUUUAUGGAACAGGACUUGGAGCCUACCUCAGUUCAGCUGCGUCCUCUUUCCCCAGGAAGGGUGCGGUCACCUCAGUGAUGUACACUGUGGUCAUC
rnacentral:lncRNA from 1 species